AUCCCUGUGUACUUGAGUCCUUCCAAGGAAUGAAGUGAGAGUAUUUUUGACAAUAAGCUGGAAAACCUGGUGAAGAGAGCUUAAGUAAGGAGAAACAUGAGAGGUAGAUGAUCUUUCUGGCAGUGGCAAUGUCUUCAUCAAAUACCUCAUUGCUCAAUAGGGAAAUCUGAUGCUUAACACAGAGGAGAGAACAAGCUGGUCUAGGGAGGAAGACUGUGUGUGUUCUGCCUGGACUGAUCCCACUCAAGGAUUCCUAAUGUAAUUGUGAAGCACAAUCAGACCAGAUGUCAGCCUGCUUGUAGUGCCAAAAUGCCGUUAAAGGAAGUGAACUGGAAGCACGCUCUUAUUGCCAAAAGAAUAAAUCUGACUGUUCUGGGCAAAGCUGUAAGUGUGUUCCAACCAGAGGCUCUGGGGAGAAGAAAAAAACAAACAAACGAACAAUAACAGUUGUAAAGUAUAUUGAUGCAUCUGUAAAACUGUACUGAAAUAGUAGGUGAAACCUUGCUUGUUCUUCUCAAUGAUUUGGUAAGAGUCAUAAUAAAAUGGAGAGUUCUCAGGUAGAACAAGGAAGACUUAAACUGUGUACAGCUUGAUAUGAUAGGUAAUAAGUGGUAUGUGUGUGUAUGUACAUAUAUGCACCAUCAAGGCAUACAGGCUUUCAUGUAAAUAUUUAUGUAUACGUGUAUUUAGGGAAUAGAUGAUCAGUGUGUGUGCAUGUAUAUACAUAUAGAUAGGUAAUAGAUGAUCUCUGUGUAUGUAUGUGUGCAUAUAUAUGUAUAUACACAUAUAUAAAAGCCUGUAUGGUGCAGAGAUGAGAAAAAAUUUCUAUUCCAAAACAUGGAAUAUUAACUGAUUAAGUGCGUUUAUUACCUUUACAGGAAAAGGAGUUUCACUGCAUUUUUCCUGAAUAUUAUUCUCAUGUUGUUGGUUUGGUUUGGUUUUGUUUUUUAUCUGACUGAAAACACACACUUAGCCAUUGAUCUUUGAGUAUAUUUUUCCUUACAUUGAGUUUCUCAAAAAAUACCCGAAGGAGAAAGCCUUGAACAGUCUGGUCUGAAUUCAGUGUUGAGCCUGUUCUGAGCAUGAAAAUAAAUGAAGGACCUCCUGUAGUCUUUCCAGCCUAAACUGUGUGAUUCUAAAAAUAACUUUCAGAAAAGUUUUUAUUAAGAGGAAAACAUAAAUAGUUAGCUCAUUUCAUUUAAAAGAUUUUUUUUUUUUUUUUUUUUUUUUCUGCAGCAGGUCCAUAAGUUCUGCUUGUGCAUAGUCCACCAGAAAGUCCUGGUUGUAUGUUCCUUUCCUGUACCUCUUGAAAAGAUCUUGAUCUCUUUACUAUGCUGAGGGCUUAUUCUAUGCUCAGUCUCAUUCUCUGCCUCUUUUCAUCAAAAACACUGCGUGCCUCAUCCUGAUAUAAAAAGCUGUUAUGCUUCAUCAUACUCAAGGGCAGAAGUAAUAUACUUCUCCUUCCAGACAGGUCUUUGUGAGCCUGUCAGUGCCGUUUUGAGGGAACAGAAGCUUCAAGUUGGGAAAGAAAACAGAUACUGUCCAGUUUCUAUACUUUCUAAAGGUAGAUGUCUUAAUUAAAGUUUACAGUUUUUCUGAAUGUAGGAAGACUUUAUUUAGCUUUUGUAGCGUCUCUUAAAGUAUGCAAAAUGCAACUCAUUACAUAUCAUAAAAGUAGUAAAAAGUCUUCAAACAUUGCAUGCAAUGUAGAGGAAAUUAACUGAAGUACUGCAGUACAGAUGUCCUUCUCCAGAGAUGACCUAAUUUCUAGCAGUAUGUAACACUUAUUAGGCUGUUUCAUCCUGUCUCAUCUCUAUUACACUAUAUACAGCCAAGAUUUAUUUUAUAACUAGUUUCCAAAUAUUCUCUGCAUCUCAGCUGGUAGACAAACAUAGUUUUAGCAGCAAGAGAUGAGUAAAGGAUGGAAAAGUGUGUGUUUGAGAAAGGUCUGUUCAUUUUAAUGUGAUAUUAAAACUGCUUCUGUCUGGAGAAAAGAAUCUAGCUAAUCCCAGUAGAAAAAUAAAAUGGAACCCAUGCUGAAAAACUAGCCCAGCAGGCAUCCACAGCAGUGCAGUAGCUUAUGGCUUUCUCCUGAUUUAUUUAUUUGUUUAUUUCUCCUCUGCAUGCUGCUGAAGUAUCUUGAUGCAUCAUCUGUGUGCUGCAGAUAGUGACUAGUGUUUUGAAUAUCUGAUUAAAUAUGACCUCGUACGUGUAAUGAUCUGGGGUGGACUUUGACUGUGCAUGGUACUGGUGUUCAAAAGAAAUUUUUUUCACAGUUGUUUCCUAUUAGUGUUUGAAGAUCUUUUCAAUCCUGUUGAACUAGA